rnacentral:rRNA from 1 species
GGUGAGUAACACGUGGAUAACCUACCUAUAAGACUGGGAUAACUUCGGGAAACCGGAGCUAAUACCGGAUAAUAUAUUGAACCGCAUGGUUCAAUAGUGAAAGACGGUUUUGCUGUCACUUAUAGAUGGAUCCGCGCCGCAUUAGCUAGUUGGUAAGGUGACGGCUUACCAAGGCAACGAUGCGUAGCCGACCUGAGAGGGUGAUCGGCCACACUGGAACUGAGACACGGUCCAG